UUACACCCUUUAGUCGCGCCUCCCUUCACCCAACCUCUCUGCGCUGCGGUUAAUCAGGUCCUUUUCAUAGCGUCAGUAAAUCUGCGCUCUCACCGCGGCUCGGUUCGGGCGUUUUGACGCGCAGCCUUUUUGGAUCACCUCUGUGCCUGAUUUGGACACCGUGUCUUCAACUAAAACAGGGAAGAAUGACAGCCAAACACCGAAAAGGGAAAAGCAACCACAAACAGGAGGAUAAUUUUUUUAAAAGUGAGAUAUUGGAAACAGAAGUUCGCCCAAGUGGAAGCAACCACACUCCCCUGCUGGUGUUGGUUUUAGUCUUUGUGGUCGGCUGCUUCACCGGUGCAUGGUUCUUUUUCCAACAGCACCUAACUUUAACCGACCUAACUGACAAUGUCAUGGGCAUUCAGGUGAAAAUAGCCAAACUGCAGUCUUCUCAUGAGGAGCUCAGGCUGUCAUAUACAAAGCAGUAUGCCCCAGAGAACCUGGAAACACGACUGGCUUCACUAGAGGAGUCUUUUGCCCUGGCUCAGAAACAGGUGGGAAUGGCUUUGGCUACGGCCGAGCAACUUAAGACAUCCGACCUCCCUGCUCAGGUGCUGUCGCUGCACACUGAGAUGAAAACAAGACUGGCAGAGGUGCAGCAAGCCACUGUGUCUUUGGAGCAACUGAGCCAUUUGCAGAGCAUGUUGAUGGGAAAGAGUGUGGAGUUUGAAGAUGUCAAGAUGCAGGUGGAGGGUUUGGCUUCUCUUAGUGUGGAACUCUCUCAGAAGGUUGAGGAUUUUUCUUUGAACCUCGCAAAAGUUAAAUCAAAGAUGGAAAAAAGGAUUGUUCAGAUUUCCAAAAUGAGUGCUACAUUGGAUGGACAGACCAGUGAGUUGUUGAAACUCAAGAAUCAACUGGAAACCUUUGAAGCUAAGCUGGAGAACGGUUUACUGGGAACGACUGAUCUGCGGGAGUUGCUUGAAAGUAAAGGACACCAGCUGUUCCUGAAGGCCAGUACAAUGGAACAGGUGGUAGAAAAAAUAAAGCCUCCUGCUGAGAAACUUGAAAAGAUGGAGGCAGAUGCUGGUAAGGAAAAAGAGGUGGCUGAUGAUGAGGCAAAUGAUUAUGAAGAAAAAGGGUUGUCUGCAGCUGAUGAUGAUGAAGGUGAAGAAGAAGAGGUGGCUGGAGUCGGUAAUGAGGAAGAAGAAAUUGUUGUAGUUGGAGACGAGCAAGUAGGCAAGGCUGUCAUGAGUGAGGAGCAAGGGGAGGAAACUACAGAGCCUGGAGAGAACGAAGAAGAGGCUGAGGAGCCAGUAGAGCAAGAAGAGGAUGCUGCAGAACCCGUAGAGCAAGAAGAAGAGGCUGAGGAACCCAGAAAGCAAGAAAAGGAGGCUACAGAACCUGGAGAGCAAGAAGAACAGGAUGCAGAACAUGAGGAGCAAGAAGAAGAGGAUGCAGAACACAAGGAGCAAGAGGAGGAGGCUGCAAAACAUGAGGAGCAAGAGGAGGUUGAUGUGACUGAAGCUGAAGACCAUGCAGCUGCUGUGGCUGCAGAAGAGGAAGAGGUACUUGGUGCAGGACCUGAAGAGGUAAAUGAAGAGAAAACUGAAGAAGAGGUACUUACAGCAACUGAAGAGGAAUGGGAACUCUCUUCAAAGGAAAACCCACCAGCAUCUAUUCAGCAGAAAGAUUAUGCAAAAGGAAAUAAGCAAGAGGCAUCUCUAGUGAAUCAGGAGGAAAGGGAGAUGGAAGAAAGUCCUACUGAAGAGGAACUAAAUGAAACAGACCAAGAAAAAUAAUUUCCUGUGCCAGAAAGCAGAAAAGAUCAUAAAGAGAACAUGGGGGAUGAUUCAAAUUCCAUAGAGGAGAAUGAAGGGUCACCAAUGUUUGAUGAAGUUAUGAUGGAUGAAGAACAGGAACUGAACACUGAAGAAGAGCAACAGGAGAGGGAGCAAGAUGAGUUAUUAGAAGAAUUUGCUGUUGUAGAAAAUAAAUGAAGCAAGGUAUGGAGAAUGAUUUUUAUUUUGUAAUAUGCUGAAGAAGUCCACCAAGGAGAACAGGAAUUUUGCAGACUGACAACACCAUGAAAAACACAUUUUGUUGUCUUUUCUUCGCCUGUUUGUUUGAUGAUGGAUGAUAUUUGAUGGAAAGACCAAAAAUUAACUUUUUGGGCUUUAUUUUUAAAGUGAACCUAAAACUUAGAGGGCAGAAGUUUGUUUUCUCAUGUUUAUAUCUCAUUUAAAACAUCGAAAGCCUUAAUGCAUAAAAUACCCUUUUAUAUUUUUAUAUAUAUAUAUAUAUAUAUAUAUAUAUAUAUAUAUAUAUAUAUAUAUAUAUAUAUAUAUAUAUACAUAGAAACAUAAACAUUCAAAAAACUCAUGAAUUCUGCCAUCAUGUCUUUCCGCAACAUUUAACCAAAUAACAUAGGAAGCUGUUACUUUAAGCCAUUUGGUGUGAAAAAAAUUAUCAAAUUCAACUUCGACCUAAUAAAGUUAAAGUCAACUGUGAUGUGGAUUUAUUACUCACAGUUUUAUUUCAAGCAUUUAUUUUCCACAUUUUUCUAUCCUUCUGGCCUACAGACAUCAGUAUCAUCAAUGUAUUCACCUUGUGAAGGAUAUAAUUGCCUGACAAAUGUCAAGUCAGCAGUCUUCUUUACCACGAUUGCAACAUGACCUUAACAUUUAUGUCUUAAACACUUUUUUUUUCUGUUAUAUGCAUUGUUUUCAGGAAUUGUAUUUGAUGUCUUAAUCCUAAAGCUUAACUAAAAUAAAUGCUUGAAAUAUACAAGUUCAAUGAAACCACCUAAUCAAAUAGUAGAUCAGAACACUAAAGUAUAAGUUUUUUAAUUACAAAGAUGCUUAGCUCUAAGUUUAAAACCUCAAGGAGGUCAUAAAAGGGUUGAGCUAUGUCCUCAGUGUUCUUUGUAUAAUAAAGUUUAUUUAAUAAUGGCAGAGUUUAUUCUCAGUGAGGCCUAUUUUAUGCAGCCUGGAGUUACAGUAGUAGCCAUUCAACAUUUACUUGAUGGGCCCUUGCCUGGUCCCGUACAGUUCCUUGAUAAAUGUCAAUAUUUGUACAAAAAUAUUCUUUCUAUCAUGAUUUGUUGACAAUAAGAUCUAAAGAGAAGCUUCAUCUCCUGGUCAGAACCUGUAAUUCAGUGAAAGGGUGGAAUCAGAGUAAAAAAAUCUGCAGGAAGGUGUCACUCCAGUGGCUGGAAGUUGGAGGGAAGUGAGCUGUCAUUCGGCUGGUGUUUGACUGGAAAGUGCCAUUUUGGAUGGCUGCUACUGUACAACAAGCAAUCCAGGGACAAAUCAUUCUUUUCUGAGGUGAUCCUGUAACAGCUGAACUGUAGAUACGUUUUGAUGCUAAAUAUCAAGCACACCUGAACAAUAUAGGAACCCAAGGUUUACAAAAGGGUACGAUUUAUUUAUUUAUUUAGGAAAUGAGCUUGUACAAGGGAAGUGCUAAAAGAGGUGAAGCCUGUUAAAUGACAGCAGCAACAAAUGUUUUGAGUAAACUAUCCACUGCUGCAUGGUGUUUUACAAUGUCAGGUAGAGCAGCUUAGACAUUGACUAAAGCUAUGUCCUUGGUAAUGGUAUAUAAAGCAAGAACUGAUACUUUGAAUGAUUCAGAAGUGUCUCAGAUCUGCUGAAUAUAUAGGAAUUAUAGCCUCAUAAAAAAACACCUUUACUACUCAUCAGGAAAAGCCAACUGAUACUGUGAUCCUCACAUGACAGAUACUGUCUGCUGCAUCCAAUGUGAGAAGGGCAAAACAUGUUACUAUGUUUGUUACUAUUGAUUUUUUUUUUAUCUGUCUUAAUUUGCUGUUUUUUUUCCUUUAUAUGGUUACUGUUGUUGUCUCUUGGUAACACUUGUUAAAAUAAACCCUUUUUCGACUCCUUUUA